AAUCUAUGAUGAUUCCCUUAGUAACGGCGAGUGAACAGGGAAAAGCCCAAAUUUGUAAUCUGGCACUUUUUACAAGUGUCCGAGUUGUAAUUUGUAGAGCUGUUAUCCGUACUGGACCAUGUACAAGUCUGUUGAAAAGCAGCAUCAUUGAAGGUGAAAAUCCUGUAGAUGAUAUGGACUACCAGUAUAUUUGUGAUACGGUUUCUAAGAGUCGAGUUGUUUGGGAAUGCAGCUCAAAGUGGGUGGUAAAUUCCAUCUAAGGCUAAAUAUAAGUGAGAGACCGAUAGCAAACAAGUACCGUGAGGGAAAGAUGAAAAGAACUUUGAAAAUAGAGUUAACAGUACGUGAAAUUGCUGAAAGGGAAACGUUUGAAGUUAGUUUUGUAUUCGUUGGAUCAGCUUCGCAAGGAGUGUAUUCUGAUGAUAAGCAAGUCAACAUCAGUCUAUGAGUAUUGGAUAAGGGUUUUGAGAAUGUAGCAAUUUAAUUGUGUUAUAGCUUGAGACUUGGAUACGAUGCUUUGGAUUGAGGAACGCGUAGUAAGC
rnacentral:rRNA from 1 species